UACGGGGGGGAGCAAGCGUUGUUCGGAUUUACUGGGCGUAAAGGGCGCGUAGGCGGCCACUGCAAGUCAGUUGUGAAAUCUCCGGGCUUAACCCGGAAAGGUCAACUGAUACUGCAGGGCUAGAGUGCAGAAGGGGCAACUGGAAUUCUCGGUGUAGCGGUGAAAUGCGUAGAUAUCGAGAGGAACACCUGCGGCGAAGGCGGCUCACUGGACCGGUACUGACGCUGAGGCGCGAAAGCGUGGGGAGCAAACGGG
rnacentral:rRNA from 1 species